rnacentral:snoRNA from 1 species
AUCCUUUCGUAGUUCAUAAAUAUGAUGACUAGGAUUUUAUAUUAAGUGAGAUGUGCCUCGCUCAAAUCUUGUUAAAA